rnacentral:rRNA from 1 species
GGGCAUAGUAUUGCCUCAGUACGGCGAGUGAGCGGCAAAAGCUCAAAUUUUAAAGCUGGCACCUUCGGUGUCCGCGUUGUAAUUUUGUGAGGCAUCUCCGGGUAGGGCGCCGGCCUAAGUUCCUUGGAACAGGACGUCAUAGAGGGUGAGAAUCCCGUGCUUGGCUGGCUGUCCCCGUCCAUGUGAGGUGUCUUCGACGAGUCGAGUUGUUUGGGAAUGCAGCUCAAAAUGGGUGGUAAAUUUCAUCUAAAGCUAAAUAUUGGUGGGAGACCGAUAGCGCACAAGUAGAGUGAUCGAAAGAUGAAAAGCACUUUGAAAAUAGAGUUAAAAAGUACGUGAAAUUGUUGAAAGGGAAGCGCUUGAGACCAGACUUCGGUGGGGGGUGAUCAGCUGUCCUUCUGGGCGGUGCACUUGCUCCCCUCCGGGCCAGCAUCGGUUGGGGCGGCGGGAUAAAGAUCCCGGGAAUGUGGCUCCUUUCGGGGAGUGUUAUAGCCCGGGUGAAUGCCGCCAGCUCCGACCGAGGACCGCGCCUUCGGGCUAGGAUGCUUGGCAUAAUGGUCUUCAGCGACCCGUCUUGAAACCACGGACCA